ACUGGUUGAUCCUGCCAGUAGUCAUAUGCUUGUCUUAAAGAUUAAGCCAUGCAGGUGUAAGAUCAUAUCUAUGAAUGGUGAAUCCGCGAAUGGCUCAUUAAAUCAGUUAUAAUUUAAUAGGAUGUGAUUCGUUAAUUGGAUAACUGUGGUAAUUCUAGAGCUAAUACAUGCAUAUACGGCUGAACUUUGUUUGGCUGUGCUUUUAUUAGUGCAAACCAGGCCUUCGGGCUGCAAAAUGGUGACUCUGAAUAACUUUGCUGAGCAUUUGGACCUUGUGUCAGUGCUAUUCCUUUAAAGUAUCUGCUCUAUCAACUGUCGAUGGUAUAUUAUAUGUUUACCAUGGUUGUAACGGGUAACGGGGAAUUAGGGUUCGAUUCCGGAGAGGGAGCCUGAGAAACGGCUACCACAUCUAAGGAAGGCAGCAGGCGCGCAAAUUACCCAAUCCCGGCUCGGGGAGGUAGUGACAAAAAAUAACAAUGCGGGACUCUUAUGAGGCUUCGUAAUUGGAAUGAGUACAUUCUAAAUCCUUUAACGAGGAACUAUUGGAGGGCAAGUCUGGUGCCAGCAGCCGCGGUAAUUCCAGCUCCAAUAGCGUAUAUUAAAGUUGUUGCGUCUAAAAAGCUCGUAGUUUUAAAACUUGCCUUGGCUUACAACAGACGUCUAAGGGCGUCACCGUUUGUCGAGAGCAAAUAUGGGUGACUGUUCUUGCCUUCUUCACUGAUUGGCUCGUAAAAGUCAUCGAAGAUCACUUUGAUUAAAUUAGGGUGCUCAAAGCAAGUGUGCUACUUGAAUAUGAAUGCAUGGAAUGAUGGAAUAUGUUGUUGUUCUAUUUGUUGGUUUUUUGAAUGACGAAAUGAUUGAAAGGAACUGUUGGGGGCAUUCGUAUUGUUGUGAGAGAGGUGAAAUUCUUAGACCAUAGCAAGACGAACUACUGCGAAAGCAUUUGCCAAGAAUGUUUUCAUUGAUCAAGAACGAAAGUUAGAGGUUCGAAGGCGAUCAGAUACCGCCCUAGUUCUAACCAUAAACUAUGCCGACUAGCAAUUUGCUUUGUAUUUUUAUGACUAAGUGAGAGGCCACGGGAAACCAAAGUAGGGUUAUGGGGGAAGUAUGGUUGCAAAGCUGAAACUUAAAGGAAUUGACGGAAGGGCACCAUCAGGAGUGGAGCCUGCGGCUUAAUUUGACUCAACACGGGAAAACUUACCUGGUCCUGACACUAGAAGGAUUGACAGAUUGAUAGCUCUUUCUUGAUUUGGUGGAUGGUGGUGCAUGGCCGUUCUUAGUUGGUGGAGUGAUUUGUCUGGUUAAUUCCGAUAACGAACGAGACUCUAGCCUAUUAAAUAAUAUGCGGAA
rnacentral:rRNA from 1 species